GCCACGUGAUGAGUCCAAGGCGAAUGUGACUCCUUGUCUUCUGGAUGUGAUCUCUGGCCUUUUCCCUCGGUCUGUAAUCUUGGUGGCUGUGUAGAAGUCUAUCGCUGUUGCUGUAAGGCCAGACCAACAUUACCUCGAUUAGAGGGGGUCUCCCACAAUGUGACAUUGCUCUGCCCACCAGAGUAUGUGUUGGCAGAGUCCUAGGGAGACCUACAUCCACUGGGAUACCUGGAAGGGAAUGGCUUCGAGGCUACAUCCUAAUAGAGGUUACAAGGCGACAUGAGCACAAGUCUUUGGUAAUCUGAUGGCA
ensembl:snoRNA